GACGAACGCUGGCGGCGUGCUUAACACAUGCAAGUCGAACGGAAAGGCCUCUUUCGGGGGGUACUCGAGUGGCGAACGGGUGAGUAACACGUGAGUAACCUGCCCUUGACUUUGGGAUAACUUCAGGAAACUGGGGCUAAUACCGGAUAGGAGCUCCUGCUGCAUGGUGGGGGUUGGAAAGUUUCGGCGGUUGGGGAUGGACUCGCGGCUUAUCAGCUUGUUGGUGGGGUAGUGGCUUACCAAGGCUUUGACGGGUAGCCGGCCUGAGAGGGUGACCGGCCACAUUGGGACUGAGAUACGGCCCAGACUCCUACGGGAGGCAGCAGUGGCGAAUAUUGCACAAUGGGUGGAAGCCUGAUGCAGCAACGCCGUGUGCGGGAUGACGGCCUUCGGGUUGUAAACCGCUUUCGCUCAUGACGAAGCUUUGUGUGACGGUAGUGGGUAAAGAAGCACCGGCUAACUACGU
rnacentral:rRNA from 1 species